GCCAAACGGGCCCUACGGUUUUGGAUGCUUCUUGUACAUGCCUGACUAACAACGAAAUCCACUUCAAGAAUAUUAGGUUUAAGUCUUCAACAAAUAGAGGGCUUAGUUCUGCAACACUCUACAGCUCCAAGCAGUAUAAUCUCAAUGCUGUGACACUUACCGAAUCAGCUAUAUGCUUCUCAGCCCAUUGCAGGGAAACUUCUCAGGGAGGAAUUUAGGCUCGUUGCAAGAAAAAGGCCUACAUCACAUAUAGUGGACACGUGAUCAUGGCCAGUGAGGUUAGUGUUGUAGACAUUUGCUAGAAGAUGUGGCUAGGAAAGGAAGACAUGAUCGGUCUAGAAGGGGACCGUACUAAAACAAUUCAAGUGAAAGGCUAGGAAAGGAAGACAUUUAUAGUUUGUUUUGAAAACUUUAAAUAGACCAUUAAUUGUUUUAUUGAUAUUGUGCUAAUUGUUGUCUUGAUGAAUGUUAGAUUAUUGGGUAAUUCAAAUUCUUGUCAUUCAAUCAUAAGUUUUUGAUAGUUAUGCAGAUAGAAAUUUGAUAGU